rnacentral:tRNA from 1 species
GCCGAUGUGGUGGAAUUGGUAGACGCAGUGGAUUCAAAAUCCACCGAGGGUUAAACCUCGUGUCGGUUCGACUCCGACCAUCGGUACCA